rnacentral:rRNA from 1 species
AGAGUUUGAUCCUGGCUCAGAUUGAACGCUGGCGGCAUGCUUUACACAUGCAAGUCGAACGGUAACAGGUCUUCGGAUGCUGACGAGUGGCGAACGGGUGAGUAAUACAUCGGAACGUGCCUAGUAGUGGGGGAUAACUACUCGAAAGAGUAGCUAAUACCGCAUGAGAUCUACGGAUGAAAGCAGGGGACCUUCGGGCCUUGUGCUACUAGAGCGGCUGAUGGCAGAUUAGGUAGUUGGUGGGGUAAAGGCUUACCAAGCCUGCGAUCUGUAGCUGGUCUGAGAGGACGACCAGCCACACUGGGACUGAGACACGGCCCAGACUCCUACGGGAGGCAGCAGUGGGGAAUUUUGGACAAUGGGCGAAAGCCUGAUCCAGCAAUGCCGCGUGCAGGAUGAAGGCCCUCGGGUUGUAAACUGCUUUUGUACGGAACGAAAAGCCUGGGGCUAAUAUCCCCGGGUCAUGACGGUACCGUAAGAAUAAGCACCGGCUAACUACGUGCCAGCAGCCGCGGUAAUACGUAGGGUGCAAGCGUUAAUCGGAAUUACUGGGCGUAAAGCGUGCGCAGGCGGUUUUGUAAGACAGUGGUGAAAUCCCCGGGCUCAACCUGGGAACUGCCAUUGUGACUGCAAGGCUAGAGUGCGGCAGAGGGGGAUGGAAUUCCGCGUGUA